GUAGGGGACUUCUCGAUUUCAUCUCAUCACUCGACCCCUGGCCGAGUACCACCACGAGAGAUACUCGAUCACUUCACUCGACCCCCAGGUCGAGUGUCUUCACCUCCACCACCUGACCACCACUCGAUCACACCACUCUACCUGGAAGUCGAGUAUUACCAUCACCACCACUCGACUACCUACUCGAUGGCGAGCUUCAGAGUCUUCUUCAUUCCGCACUCAACCAGACACUCGAGCACAAGAAAGAAAAGAAGACCCCAGUUAUUCACUCAACCUCUCACUCGACCACCUGGGUCGAGUACAGUUCUUAAUUCAUCCCAAUACUGCGUCGUUUUGAGUAUUAGGGUUUCGGAAUAUUUUGCUAUAAGUAACAUGUACUUUACAUUUUCGAAAACAAGUUUUUAGCUUGGUUUUAUUCCGCAGACAUUGUGUUCUAGACCUUUUUGUAAUCCGGAUUUCUCUUUAUCUAUUCAGUAUUCAGUAUUCAGUAUUUGUUCUUGAUUUCGUUUACUGUUGUUCAUCCUGUUAUCAUUCUGCUAUUACAUUGUUGUUAUCAUGUUUUCAUCCUGUUCAACGUUUAUGUUCUCUACAAUGAUGUCUGAGUAGUGAAUAGGUUUCUAAGGAUGGGUUAGAGUAGUGUAGAAUUCUCAGUAUGCUAGGUGGUUGAGUUUGAUUGAUAGAUCCCUUUUGAAUUAGUUGUUCUUAAUGCCUAUUGCUUUCUGAUCAACUGGAAUUUGAGCCCAGACAUUUCUGCGCCCAAAAGGUGUUCGAUGAAAUGUCUGAACCACUAAUUCCAGGAUUCGUGGCCGUGUACCAAGGUAUUGGUUGCAGGGAGCGUUUUGGCUUUAACUCGUUGAUUCGUAAUGCCUGUUAGUUUAGCUCUCGUCAAUGGUGAUUGAGUCUGGGACUAGGUUAACUUGAGGGUCUCUGUUGCGGUGGCACUUAGAUUUGGUUAAUGAACUUGUUGUCUAGGGAUAAUUUAUUGAGCAUGUCAAUCACUUGUAAACUGAGGAAACGAAACUACUCAAUUACCCCAUCCUCGGGAAUUCUUUAUCUGAUUGAAUUCUUUGUUUACUCUACUGUUGUUUACUGCAUCUUGUCAUCUGUUGCUUAGUUUCUACAAUUCUUUCCUGUUACUCGACCUGAUACUCGACCACCCAGUUGUCUGGCAACAGACUGUGCAGUCGAAUGUCUUUGUUUUGUUUUUUGUCUGUUACUCGACCUGUCACUCGACCUCACCCAAUGCUCUGCAUCGAGCUGUGUUGGUCGAGUGUUUUACUCUUUCUGCUUGAAUUUCUGUUUUCUGCAUGUUCACUUAGGACUGCUAGAACACACCAAAACCUGUUAUUGCUUGGCUUGACUUAGUGACUUCUGAUUACAUCUUGAUUGUUAGCAUCACACCCAUUUGGAUUGACAACGUAAAAUACUACAACGACAUGAUUGGUGUUUUAGGAUAAUUGACUAAAAACCUAUUAUCAAUUUGGCACCGUUGCCAAUUGGGUGUUUGUUUGUUACAUUUGAGAUUUCAGACUUGUUUAGAUCAAGUUCUUUUUCAAUUUUCAAUUCGGUUGCUAACUGUGUGUUUUUCUUGUUGUCUUCUUGAUCCAGGUACCCCUCUUCUGUAUGCAAACUCGAUCAACAGGCAAUCAGAACCUCUUUUCAACGACUACAUCGACCGCAUAGCUUGCGAACUAAGAGAAAGGAGAAACACAGUCAACCUUGUACCACAACAACCACUCGAAAUGGAUGACGAACAUAAUCAAGAAAAUGGCCCUGCCAACAUUGGUGCUGGGGAUGCACCACGUGAUCUCCGUCAGCGGAAAGAAAUUGCACCUCCUGUGAUCCAGAACAACAACUUCGAGAUUAAGAGUGGUCUCAUCUCGAUGAUUCAGGGGAACAAAUUCCAUGGUCUGCCAAUGGAGGAUCCACUCAACCACCUUGAUGAAUUUGAUAGGCUCUGCAACCUAACAAAAAUCAAUGGUGUCAUUGAAGACGGAUUCAAUCUCCGUUUGUUUCCAUUCUCCUUGGGCGGCAAAGCACACAUUUGGGAGAAGAAUCUGCCCCAUGACUCAAUCACCACCUGGGAUGAUUGCAAGAAGGCCUUUCUAUCAAAGUUCUUCUCCAACGCCAGAACUGCAAGACUCAGAAAUGAGAUCUCUGGCUUUUUACAGAAGGCUGGUGAAAGCUUCUGUGAAGCAUGGGAGCGUUUCAAGGGUUACACCAACCAAUGCCCUCAUCAUGGCUUUACUAAAGCCUCUCUGCUCAGCACUCUUUACAGAGGAGUUCUACCACGCAUCAGAAUGCUUCUAGAUACAGCCAGCAAUGGGAAUUUCCAAACAGAACAAAGAUGUUGAAGAAGGCUGAGAAUUGGUUGAGAACCUUGUUCAAUCAGAUGGUAAUUACAACGAGGACUGCGAUAGGACCGUCAGAAGCACAGCUGACUCUGAUGACAAACACAGGAAGGAGAUCAAAGCGCUGAAUGACAAGCUGGACAGGAUUCUUCUUAGCCAGCAAAAGCAUGUGCACUUCCUUGUUGAUGACGAAAAAUAUCAGGUCCAAGAUGGGAGGGUAACCAGUUGGAAGAAGUCAGCUACAUCAACAACAACCAGAGUGGCUACAAAGGGUAUAACAACUUCAAAACCAACAACCCCAACCUCUCCUACCGCAGCACAAACGUUGCUAAUCGUCAAGAUCAAGUGUAUCCUCCACAACAACAACAAGGUCAGAACAAACCUUUUGUUCCUUACAAUCAAGGUUUUGCUCCUAAGCAGCAAUUUCAGGGGAAUUACCAGCCGCAACCACCACCUGGGUUUGCACCUCAGCAAAACCAAGGUCCUGCUACUCCUGAGGCUGACAUGAAACAAAUGGUACAACAGCUGCUUCACGGGCAAGCCUCUGGCUCCAUGGAGUUGGCAAAGAAGAUAUCUAAGUUACAUAACAAGCUGCACUGUAGCUACAAUGAUCUCAAUGUCAAGGUGGAAACACUGAAUACCAAAGUCCGAUACUUAGAGGGACAUUCUGCAUCUUCUUCAGCUCCAAACCAGAUAAGCCUACUACCAGGCAAAGCAAUUCAGAACCCAAAAGAAUAUGCUCACGCUAUCUCUCUGCGUAGUGGAAAAGCACUUGAAACUAGGGAGGACCCAAAGACAGUCACUGACGACAGUGAAGAUCAAGAUGGGCCACUCGAGCUGCCACUCGACCACUUUACUCGACCAACUACUCGAGCAACCUCCCCAGCAACAUCACCAACUGCUCCAAAACCAGUUGCUGUCAAGAACAAAGAAAAGGUCUUUGUCCCUCCUCCUUACAAACCACAGCUUCCAUUUCCUGGCCGUCACAAGAAAGCAUUGGCAGAUAAGUAUAGAGCUAUGUUUGCCAAGAACAUUAUGGAGGUUGAGUUGCGGAUACCUCUUGUUGACGCUCUAGCGCUAAUCCCAGACUCUCACAAGUUUUUGAAAGAGUUGAUCGUGGAGAGAAUUCAAGAAGUGCAAGGAUGGUGGUAUUGAGCCAUGAAUGCAGUGCUAUCAUACAGAAGAAGAUCAUUCCUAAGAAGCUAAGUGAUCCUGGUUCAUUCACUCUACCAUGCUCUUUAGGUCCAUUGGCUUUCAACAGAUGCCUAUGUGAUUUAGGAGCAUUAGUCAAUCUCAUGCCGCUCUCUGUCGUCAAAAGAUUGGGGUUCACUCAAUACAAAUCCUGCAGUAUAUCCCUCAUCCUAGCUGACAGGUCAGUAAGGAUCCCUCAUGGUUUGCUCGAAAACCUACCAAUCAGGAUCGAAGCUGUGGAGAUACCAACUGACUUUGUAGUCCUGGAGAUGGAUGAAGAACCCAAGGACCCGUUGAUUCUAGGGAGACCUUUCUUAGCAACUGCAGGAGCAAUGAUUGAUGUCAAGAAAGGGAAGAUUGAUCUAAACCUUGGCAAGGAUUUUGGGAUGAGCGAAGAAGGGUCAACACGAGUUCAACCUGCACACUCGAGGACAUACUCGACCAGCCACUCGACCUUGUCUGCCAACGAAUCUGGGGAGCCGAUCAUCCCAACUUCAGAUGACUGGUCUGAACUCAAGGCGCCGAAGGUGGAUCUCAAACCAUUUCCUAAAGGUCUAAGGUACGCAUUCCUUGGUCCAAACUCUACUUAUCCUGUGAUCAUUAAUGCUGAGA
rnacentral:sRNA from 1 species